AGAGUUUGAUCAUGGCUCAGAAUCAACGCUGGCGGCGUGCCUAACACAUGCAAGUCGAACGCGAAGACCCCGCAAGGGGUUGGUAGCGUGGCAAACGGGUGAGUAACGCGUGGGCGACCUGCCUUCGAGUGGGGGAUAACCUUCCGAAAGGAGGGCUAAUACCGCAUGACAUCCCGUGUUUGGAUACACGGAGAUCAAAGCCGGGGAUCGCAAGACCUGGCGCUUGAAGAGGGGCCCGCGUCCGAUUAGCUAGUUGGCGAGGUAAUGGCUCACCAAGGCUCCGAUCGGUACCCGGCCUGAGAGGGCGGACGGACACACUGGAACUGAGACACGGUCCAGACUCCUACGGGAGGCAGCAGUGGGGAAUUGUUCGCAAUGGGCGCAAGCCUGACGACGCAACGCCGCGUGGAGGAUGAAGACCUUCGGGUCGUAAACUCCUUUCGACCGAGAUGAAGAGGUGCCAACCUAACACGUCGGCAUCCUGACAGUAUCGAGGGAAGCAGCCCCGGCUAACUCCGUGCCAGCAGCCGCGGUAAUACGGGGGGGGCAAGCGUUGUUCGGAAUUACUGGGCGUAAAGGGUUUGUAGGUGGCCGGCUAAGUCCGACGUGAAAUCCCUCAGCUUAACUGGGGAACUGCGUCGGAGACUGGUCGGCUUGAGGGUCGGAGAGGAACGCGGAAUUCCAGGUGUAGCGGUGAAAUGCGUAGAUAUCUGGAGGAACACCGGUGGCGAAGGCGGCGUUCUGGACGGCUACUGACACUGAAAAACGAAAGCCAGGGGAGCAAACGGGAUUAGAUACCCCCGUAGUCC
rnacentral:rRNA from 1 species